AGUGAACGCUGGCGGUAGGCCUAACACAUGCAAGUCGAACGGCAGCACAGUAAGAGCUUGCUCUUACGGGUGGCGAGUGGCGGACGGGUGAGGAAUACAUCGGAAUCUACUUUUUCGUGGGGGAUAACGUAGGGAAACUUACGCUAAUACCGCAUACGACCUACGGGUGAAAGCAGGGGAUCUUCGGACCUUGCGCGAUUGAAUGAGCCGAUGUCGGAUUAGCUAGUUGGCGGGGUAAAGGCCCACCAAGGCGACGAUCCGUAGCUGGUCUGAGAGGAUGAUCAGCCACACUGGAACUGAGACACGGUCCAGACUCCUACGGGAGGCAGCAGUGGGGAAUAUUGGACGAUGGGCGCAAGCCUGAUCCAGCCAUACCGCGUGGGUGAAGAAGGCCUUCGGGUUGUAAAGCCCUUUGUUGGGAAAGAAAAGCAGCAGGUUAAUACCCCGCUGUUCUGACGGUACCCAAAGAAUAAGCACCGGCUAACUUCGU
rnacentral:rRNA from 1 species